AUGUGUUCUGAUGAUUGGCAAUGUUCAACUGCUCUGAAACAAGUGAUUGAAAAAUAGCCUUUCUGAACAUUU